UGCAAGUGAUGUGAUGAAAUAUUUGCUAUCUGAGCCACAGUGCUGACACUCUACCCACCAAGAUCGCUGAUGCA
ensembl:snoRNA SNORD24 Small nucleolar RNA SNORD24